GAUUUUCUAGCUGUAGAAUCUUGGCUUGACCUUACAGUUAUAGAUACUCUCAUAUAGGUUUAGCUCAUGAAUCGCACUUUAGCCUCUGUAAUUGAAUGACAUUUACAUGAACUUCACGGCCUGCUUCACCUUCACUUCCUUCCGUACCUGAUUCUUAGUCUGCUCUAUUAGUUGCUGUCUUGAAUUGGUUGUUGUUGACUACCAAAAUUUACUUUUCUUCCACAAACGGGGGUAUUCUUUUGAACAAUAUACCAUUAAGUACAAAUUUGUAGUUACUCAUGUUCUAAUGUGAUUCCAUGGUUCCAAACAGGGUAGCAGUUCAUGAUCUUCAGUCAUCACCAAGUAGAGAAGCUUCACCAUUGGAAGGCAUAAUAAUGGCAUGCAGUCGAGGAUCAAAAAGCAAGAUAUGGCAUAUGAUUAAUACUGCAUUUCCUCCAACCUCUAAUUUUCUCCGUUAACUACAAUUGCAUAUUCCUUUUUUCACCAAUGACUCUUAGUUCUUAGUAACUUAAUUCAAUACUUGAAGCAUUCUUUCUUGUGAUUAUUUAACAUUUCGCUAUCCUCAA
rnacentral:lncRNA from 1 species